AGAUGAAAGGUCUCAUCCUGAAAUCUCGUCCGUCCAUUCCCCUCCACAGAUGCUGCCUGACCCGCUGAGUUCUGCCAGCAGUUUGUUCUGCGAUACAACGUUCCACCUGCUCGGACUGUCCAGGUGGGUCAGUAACCAGAAGACACAGAGUUAAGGAGAUUGGCAGGAGACCAAGAGGGAAAGAUGAAGAGAAUGGGCCUUUCGAACCGGGGAUGUGGAAUGCACUGCCUGAAAGAACGACGGAAGAGAUGCUGCCUGACCCGCUGAAUUCCUCCAGCAUCUUGCACGUUGCUCCAAAUUCCAACAUCUGCCGUCUCCGGUCAACAUCUCAUAUCCCACCUGGGUCCUCUACAACCCAAUGGUAUGAACUUCGAAUUUUUUUUUAAUUUCAGGUAACCCUUACCUCCUG